CAGUUCAACCUGAGCUCCUUUCAAGGCAGACAUAUCUCUGAAAAUCUCCCUGAAUUUUAAGGAACUUUUCAGGCGUGGGCGUGGCCAGAAUGUGACACAUCCAGCCCGUGGGACAGGAGUUUGACUGCCCUGGUCUAAGUGAAUUUAAUGAAUAUUUGCAGGCCAGUGAACUUGAGGUAGAGAAAUGUAUUGCUUCACAUCCAUAAGUCAGAAAUAUGACUAAGAGAUCAACCAACCAUUUCCUCCAAUGAAGAUUCUUCUAACAUUCUCUAGAUGUUCAGCCAUAUAUCAGAUGGAUCAGCCUUUAGAAUCUAACCUAUGCAAACAGAUUCCUGCUUCAAAAAGCUUCCAUCAUUUUCUAGAUGCUGCUCAUUUCAAAGCAACUGGUAAAUGUUCCCUAGCAAUCA